ACCUUUCAUAGAUGGAAAAGUUGUUCCAUAUGAUCCUAAAUACCAUGAGGAAUGGGUUCGAAACAAUGCACAUGCAAAUGAGAGGUCUAGGCGCAAUGAUAGGCCUUGCAAUUUUGAUCGAUCAAGGAACUUUUAGAGAAGAAGAGAGAAUAUGCGGAAACGUGAUUUUCAAAGCAGAGAUGCACCUCCAAUGCCCAAUCGGGAUUUCCAGAACCGGGACAUGCAAAGCUCAAUGCCUCCUAGAGAGAAUGUUGUCGGGGGCAUGCCUAAUAGAGAUACUGGAUCGAGCGGAGGAUACUCAAACAUGCCCAAUAGCAGCAGACGAGGUGGAGGAUACUCAAACAUGCCCAACAACAGCGGACCGGGUGGAGGAUACUCAAACAUGCCCAACUGUAGUGCUUCGGGUGAAGGAUACUCAAACAUGCCCAACAGUGGUGCUCCGAGUGGUGGAUACUCAAACAUGCCCAACAGCGAUAGUCCGGGUGGGGGAUACUCAAACAUGCCCAAUAGCGGCGGGCCAAGCGGGGGUUAUUCUAACAUGCCCAACAGCGGUGGGCCGAGCAGUGGAUACUUGAACAUGCCCAACAGCGGUGGGCUGAGCGGGGGAUAUUCGAACAUGCCUAACAGUGGCCCUGGAUAUAUGCCUAAUAGGGGUUUUCAACAAAGUGGGGAGAUACUGAACAGAUAGUACCAGAACAACUACAUGCCAAACAGAGAUGCGAGAAACAUUCCAAGUGGCAAUGCUUAUCAAGGAAGAGAUACGCCAGGGAGAGAUUUGCCCCCAAUGCAAAACAAAGACUAUCAGGAGGUCUGAUAUGGGGAGCAUGCUGAGUGAUAGUGUGCUUAUCAAGAUUCAUUUACUAUAUGAAGUGUGCCAUGGUUCCUUAUUUGGAUUGGUGGAAACAAUGGAAAAAUGUGGCAUGGAAACCUAUUUCCAUAUCUAUGGGAAAUGGAACUGUUAAUUCUAGGUUUCUGUGCUUACAAAACAUGUUAAUCAUUUGAUCUUUUAACAUUUGUAUGGAAAUCACUUUUGCUACAACAAACAGGUUAAUAUGGAUUUUUUUUUCUAACGGAAUUAUCUUCUCUGAUGGGACAAUUGAUUUUUCAUAUUCAUAUUUUGGUUUGUUGA